AGUUAAAUAGCUUAAGUAAGCAUAUAUUUUGAAAAUAUAAGAAAAAGGUUUGAAUCCUUUAUUAACUU
rnacentral:tRNA from 1 species